rnacentral:rRNA from 1 species
UACGUAGGGACCAAGCGUUGUCCGGAAUCAUUGGGCGUAAAGAGCGUGUAGGCGGCUUGUUAAGUCUUGCGUGAAAUCUCGGGGCUCAACCCCGAGCGGUCGUGAGAAACUGGCAGGCUAGAGUGCGGGAGAGGAGAGUGGAAUUCCCGGUGUAGCGGUGAAAUGCGUAGAGAUCGGGAGGAACACCAGUGGCGAAGGCGGGUCUCUGGGCCGUAACUGACGCUGAGGAGCGAAAGCGUGGGGAGCAAACAGG